rnacentral:tRNA from 1 species
GCCGGUGUGGCUCAGUUGGUUGGGCAUUGUCCCGAGCACUAAAAGGUUGCCAGUUCGAUUCUGGUCAAGGGCA